rnacentral:rRNA from 1 species
AGGGCACCACCAGGAGUGGAUCCUGCGGCUCAAUUUGACUCAACACGGGAAAGCUCACCUGGUCCGGACACUGGAAGGAUUGACAGAUUAAGAGCUCUUUCUUGAUUCAGUGGGUGGUGGUGCAUGGCCGUUCUUAGUUGGUGGAGCGAUUUGUCUGGUUAAUUCCGAUAACGAACGAGACUCUAGCCUACUAAAUAGGUGUUCCGAUCCCAUCAGUCGGACGCUCUUCUUAGAGGGACAAGCGGCGUUUAGCCGCACGAGACAGAGCAAUAACAGGUCUGUGAUGCCCUUAGAUGUCCGGGGCCGCACGCGCGCUACACUGAAGGAACCAGCGUGUGUCCCUGUCCGGCAGGACUGGGUAAUCCGUUGAACCUCCUUCGUGAUAGGGAUAGGGGCUUGCAAUUGUUCCCCUUGAACGAGGAAUUCCCAGUAAGCGUGAAUCAUCAGUUCACGUUGAUUACGUCCCUGGCCUUUGUACACACCGCCCCGUCGCUACUACUGAUUGGAUGAUUAAUGAGG